AGGUGUUUGUGCAUUUUCUUGGGAGAACAACCAAAAUGGACAAGUCCCCCAUCUGAUUCCAAGGCCAACGUUUGCGUCCUCAGGAAGAUUGAGUGAUUCACUUGACCUUGGGAGAUGAACCAGGCCAUGAGUCAGCCCCUUCCACUCUCCUUUUGUUUGGGAAUCUGUUCCCCAAGUUUAAUCAGGCCCAUGGCUGACCAGGAGGUCCUGACACCGAGUGGAUCUGAAUUCCCAGGAGAGGGGAGCAGCUACACCAGAGGGCCCGAGCAACCCUAGAUUACUUGCAUGAGAUGGUGGGG